AUUGCACGCUGGCGGCAGGCCUAACACAUGCAAGUCGAGCGAGCGGCGGACGGGUGAGUAAUGUCUGGGAAACUGCCUGAUGGAGGGGGAUAACUACUGGAAACGGUAGCUAAUACCGCAUACCAUCAGAUGUGCCCAGAUGGGAUUAGCUAGUAGGUGGGGUAAUGGCUCACCUAGGCGACGAUCCCUAGCUGGUCUGAGGGGAUGACCAGCCACACGGGAAGUGGGACACGGUCCAGACUACAACGGGAGGCAGCAGUGGGGAAUAUUGCAGAAUGGGCGCAAGCCUGAUGCAGCAAUGCCGCGGGUGUGAAGAAGGCCUUCGGGUUGUAAAGCACUUUCAGCGGGGAGGCGUUACCCGCAGAAGAGGCACCGGCUAACUCCGUGCCAGCGGCCGCGGUGAUUC
rnacentral:rRNA from 1 species